rnacentral:sRNA from 1 species
CCCUUACUCUUUGGGGAGUAGCCCGCUUUCUUGUUUUAAUCGCUUAGGCAAAAUAAGCAGAAAGUUCGUAUAUCAACAUAAUUGAUGCAAAAUCAUCAUGGUAUACGAGACAAGCAUGAGCAACUUGUUCGGCAAGACCUUAGAUUAACAU